rnacentral:rRNA from 1 species
GACGGAGGGUGCAAGCGUUGCUCGGAAUCACUGGGCGUAAAGCGCACGUAGGCGGAUUGUUAAGUCAGGGGUGAAAUCCUGGAGCUCAACUCCAGAACUGCCUUUGAUACUGGCGAUCUCGAGUCCGGGAGAGGUGAGUGGAACUGCGAGUGUAGAGGUGAAAUUCGUAGAUAUUCGCAAGAACACCAGUGGCGAAGGCGGCUCACUGGCCCGGUACUCGACGCUGAGGUGCGAAAGCGUGGGGAGCAAACAGGG